rnacentral:rRNA from 1 species
AGUGAACGCUGGCGGUAGGCCUAACACAUGCAAGUCGAACGGCAGCACAGUAAGAGCUUGCUCUUACGGGUGGCGAGUGGCGUACGGGUGAGGAAUACAUCGGAAUCUACUUUUUCGUGGGGGAUAACGUAGGGAAACUUACUCUAAUACCGCAUACGACCUACGGGUGAAAGCAGGGGAUCUUCGGACCUUGCGCGAUUGAAUGAGCCGAUGUCGGCUUAGCUAGUUGGCGGGGUAAAGGCCCACCAAGGCGACGAUCCGUAGCUGGUCUGAGAGGAUGAUCAGCAACACUGGAACUGAGACACGGUCCAGACUCCUAAGGGAGGCAGCAGUGGGGAAUAUUGGACAAUGGGCGCAAGCCUGAUCCAGCCAGACCGCGUGGGUGAAGAAGGCCUUCGGGUUGUAAAGCCCGUUUGUUGGGAAAGAAAAGCAGCAGGUUAAUACCCCGCGGUUCUGACGGUACCCAAAGAAUAAGCACCGGCUAACUUCGUG